rnacentral:pre_miRNA from 1 species
AGCGGGAUUGCUGGGUCUUAUGGUAGCUCUUUGUUUGACUUUUUGAGAAGCUGCCAAACUCUUUUCCAAAGUGGCUGCACCAUUUAGCAUUCCUACUAGCAAU